rnacentral:sRNA from 1 species
ACGCUGGCGGCGUGGAUAAGGCAUGCAAGUCGCACGGCAACCCAGCAGCAAUGUUGGGAUUAAGUGGCGAAAGGGCUAGUAAUGCGUGGAUAACCUGCCCCUGAGACGGGAAAAACAGUUCGAAAGGACUGCUAAUGCCCGAUGAUGCCGUCAAGCGGGAGCUUGGCGGUCAACGGUGGGGACCGAAAGGCCUAUCGCUCAGGGAGGGGUUCACGUCCUAUCAGUUAGUUGGUAGGGUAAUGGCCUACCAAGACUAUGACGGGUAGCGGGCCUGAGAGGGUGGUCCGCAGCACUGGGACUGAGACACUGCCCAGACUCCUACGGGAGGCAGCAGUGGG